AUUGAACGCUGGCGGCAGGCCUAACACAUGCAAGUCGAGCGAGAAAGCCUUCGGGUGAGUGCAGCGGCGGACGGGUGAGUAACGCGUAGGAAUCUACCUGGUAGUGGGGGACAACAUGGGGAAACCCAUGCUAAUACCGCAUACGCCCUAUGGGGGAAAGCGGGGGACCUUCGGGCCUCGCGCUAUCAGAUGAGCCUGCGUAGGAUUAGCUUGUUGGUGAGGUAAAGGCUCACCAAGGCGACGAUCCUUAGCUGGUCUGAGAGGAUGAUCAGCCACACUGGAACUGAGACACGGUCCAGACUCCUACGGGAGGCAGCAGUGGGGAAUAUUGCGCAAUGGGCGAAAGCCUGACGCAGCCAUGCCGCGUGUGUGAAGAAGGCC
rnacentral:rRNA from 1 species